rnacentral:tRNA from 1 species
GUUUUUAUAGUUGAGUACAACGUUGAUUUUUCAGGUCAAAGGUCUUGGUUAAGCCCAGGUAAAAAUA